UUUAUUGGUCAGGUGAAUAUUAAU
rnacentral:siRNA from 1 species